GUCGCUCCCCCGUCGCGCCGGCGCGGGCGACACGAGCGCCUUCUUCGUGGCGACGCUGGUGUUGUGGGCCGUGUCGGUGGGGUUCGAGAUCGGCGCCCUGGGCCGCCGCGAGCUGCUGACCGCGGCCGCCUGCUUCGCCUUCUUCCAAACCCGCUCUUCGUCAACACUGCCGUCUCGCUCCUCCACUCCUCCCUCACCCUCCGCCUCAGUCAGUAUGUUCCAUUGAUGCUGCAAUAUAUGUGCAGUUAUCUUUGUUCUGUUGUGCCAAUGGUGUACCAAGGGCCUUGA
rnacentral:rRNA from 1 species